GCGGGCGGUGGCUCUGCCGGGGGACGGGUGCCGGCACUUCCCGGCACUCCGCGGUGUUUCCCAGCGCUUUCCGCUCCUCUCGGCGCUCGGGAGUGGGGAUGGCGGAGCGGCGACCCUGCCCGCUGCCCGCCUCGCUUCAGUGUCCGCCGAUCGUGCAGGAGGUGAGGUUUUAUCAUGAAGCACAAACUGGCUAUGAUGCAGAAACAGAACCUCAAGCAAAUGGUUGCCUGUGUAGAGGGAGGAACAAGAGGCAGGAACAAUGAAGUUUCUUGUUGGACAUUAACAAAGGCAUUGAGGGAUUGGGAGAAGAAGAGACAAGCUAAGAGCAAAUUAAGAGAUGUCAACAGAAGGAUUGCUGAGAAGGGAGCAUCAGUUGAGCUAAGGCAGUCAUAGCUGUUAACAUUUAAAAAGCCCUUUCAAGGACUAACAAAAUAAAGGAUAGAAAGAAUGUGCCUGCUAAUCACAAGGAGAUGGAAGCAUAGGAAGUUACAUUUGGAAUAAUUUCCUCAAUUUCUGCACCCCUUGAAGAGGCAAAAUGAAUCCAAAAGAUAAAAAUUCAGUGAGAUGAAAGUGCAGCCUCAGAGGAAGGACAGCACUGAAACCAACAAAUAAUUCCAUACGAAAUGGUAGGAGUAAGGACUGUGAGGAAGCAUGCUGGAUUGAACAGCCCUGUGGCACACAGCAUGGGAUAAUUGCCAAACAUUGCCUCCAUCAUCUGCUCUGACGACAGCAGUUCCAGGAUGCCCUAAAGCCUCAGGGAUGCCAUCCUAUUCUUCACCAUUCUUCCUGCUUGCUCAAGGACUUAGAAAGUACAGCAGAGCAAUGCUGCUAACAACAAGAACAAAUCAAUACACAUCCAAAUUGGAUUAACCAAACUUUGCUUUUAUUAUCUCAGCCAGAGCAGGCAAGUAAACAAAACUUUAAAAAUUAAGUUCCUUACUUUCCUUCUCCUCAAUAACUGUACAUAGGACCAGAGGACAUCACACAUUAAACUUUUAUUUCUGAAAAAAAUUUAUUUCUAGAAAUGUCAUCCAAUAAUUCUCCAAAUCUGAAAAUGGCUUGAUUAUAUGUGAAUUACUUUUUCCUGCUUUUCUCUUCUUUGAAUUCCUCUGAUUUGCAGAUUUUCCCCUUGAAGUAUCCUUUACACUUUUUCCGUAAUGCUCUCCACUGCUGUCCGGCAGAAUGUGUUUGUGUUAACCUUUAACAUAACUUGACUACACUACUUUGAUUUUGGACAUCUAUUUUUGUAUUUGCAAAUAAUUUGUACUAAUUUCCUGAAUUAUCAGCAGAAGACAGGAAGUGGGAGCACAGAAGUAUCUGUAAAUACUGAUUUAUCCUAGUUACAUACAAAGACCUACUUCCUAGUCAGUGUAUAUCUGGGAACAGUCCAUGUGUCACCUUGUCUGUUAGAAUUCUUUGUUCUGGGUCUUUUUGGCAAGUAUAUGGCCAAUAUAAAUUUUUCUAAAUUUUUUAGGUGUUUUCCCCAAAAUCAGUGACAGAUUUUAUCUUCCUUCCAACUAGUACAGUCAGUGGGAAAGGUAAGGCUACUAACUAGUAUCUGUUCAUUUAUGUACUUCCAAAUACCCUAUUCUCUUUUAAGAAUUAACACGCCAAUCCUAAUGUAGCUUCCCUGCAGCUUUUGUCUGAAAUUUCCAAAUAAAUUUUUUACAGAGACUUCUUUUCUUGCUGCUGUUACUGUAGUCAGCAUAUUAGACUUUGUCUGUUUUGUUUACAGUCUGAGUGCAAUAUUAGAAAUCUUUUUGUUCUGGACUUCAUAUCUCCUAAGUAUUUUUCUUCUUUCUUUUAAAUUCAGUUAUCCAGCACUUCAUCAUGUGUAUAUAGCUGCCCUUACAAAUGCUAGCCAGAUAAAUCUGUUUGUUCUAAAAAUUUACAUAUCCUCAAGUAAGAAACUUCAUAUUUUGAGGGUGUGGGAUGGCAGAAUUUAGAUAUUUGCACAGAGGAAAAAUGUGCUGUUUUCCAUACUAUUAAUUUUCCAAAUGCUAGCUCCUACUCUUGUUGGUUUCAGUCUUUUUCAAUCCUUCUCAAACAGCAUCUGCCUUAUCUUCUCAUCUACACAAUGAAGGCUUAGAGAAGAGAAAUUUGCUCACAAGUGUGAUCUGUGUAGCUCAGGAAGGGUUUUUUCAUGGCCUGUUAUACCAUACAGAAACUCUGCUAGAUAUCUUUAAGACCAUGAAAGAUUUUUUUCUUUC